rnacentral:lncRNA from 1 species
CUGAUUUUGGUAGCAUCCUUUGGUCUCUUCUAGUCUGGGAGUCAGAGAAAGUUUGCAUCAAAAUGUCAUCAGGGAUUCAUUUCCAUCAUUUCAAGCAGGGUCAUCUUGGAGCGGGACACAGGAUAGCCAAAAACAAUCCAUUGAUACACUUGGUGACAUUAAUUGAGAAAAAAACAAUACGGUCUGGCCAUGGAGGCAUGAUAUCCGUAACAUCCCCCAAAGGAGCUAAAGAAGAAAUCCACAAUUUACCAUGAGCAUUUCUCGUCUAAUGAUUGCCAAGCGAUUCCUCCAGGACAUUCCUCAAGAUCAAUUUCUGUUCAUCCACCUUGUCCUGGGAGGGACAUCAAUGGGUUUCCAUGUCCUUUGGCUUCUGGUUGAGUUCACUCAGUGGAGAACCCUGGCAAGAGGCAGGAAAAGGGGAGGAAG